rnacentral:lncRNA from 1 species
AGAAAAUGCCAUUGUUCAAAGGAAAAAGGAAAAGAGGACUGAAAUUGACUCUCUACAAAAAACCAUGGAGAUACAAGUUAUCCCCGGCCCUCGAAGCGAACUAAACCCCCUGGGAGUAGUCCUGUCGUCAAAUAUACGUCACAGAGAUCACCACAUAUAUCUAAGAAAAUUAUAUCGCCGAUGCAAACUUCGACACCUAUUAGACGAAAUCUGUUCGCCCAAAAUCACGAAAUAUUCGAAACAACACAGGCAGAUAUACAGAUGAUUCUAAAAACACAA